rnacentral:rRNA from 1 species
CUGGGAUUAGAUACCCCACUAUGCUUAGCCCUAAACACAAAUAAUUACAGAAACAAAAUUAUUCGCCAGAGUACUACCGGCAACAGCCCGAAACUCAAAGGACUUGGCGGUGCUUUAUACCCUUCUAGAGGAGCCUGUUCUAUAAUCGAUAAACCCCGAUAAACCUCACCAAUCCUUGCUAAUACAGUCUAUAUACCGCCAUCUUCAGCAAACCCUAAAAAGGAACAAAAGUAAGCUCAAUCACAACACAUAAAGACGUUAGGUCAAGGUGUAACCCAUGGAAUGGGAAGAAAUGGGCUACAUUUUCUACCUUAAGAAAAUUAAUACGAAAGCCAUUAUGAAAUUAAUGACCAAAGGAGGAUUUAGUAGUAAACUAAGAAUAGAGUGCUUAGUUGAAUUAGGCCAUGAAGCACGCACACACCGCCCGUCACCCUCCUCAAGUAAAUACAAUGCACUCAAGCCUAUUAACACGCAUCAACUACAUGAGAGGAGAUAAGUCGUAACAAGGUAAGCAUACUG